GAUCCUGGCUCAGGAUGAACGCUAGCUACAGGCUUAACACAUGCAAGUCGAGGGGCAUCAGUUUGGUUUGCUUGCAAACCAAAGCUGGCGACCGGCGCACGGGUGAGUAACACGUAUCCAACCUGCCUCAUACUCGGGGAUAGCCUUUCGAAAGAAAGAUUAAUAUCCGAUAGCAUAUAUUUCCCGCAUGGGUUUUAUAUUAAAGAAAUUCGGUAUGAGAUGGGGAUGCGUUCCAUUAGUUUGUUGGCGGGGUAACGGCCCACCAAGACUACGAUGGAUAGGGGUUCUGAGAGGAAGGUCCCCCACAUUGGAACUGAGACACGGUCCAAACUCCUACGGGAGGCAGCAGUGAGGAAUAUUGGUCAAUGGACGCGAGUCUGAACCAGCCAAGUAGCGUGAAGGAUGAAGGUCCUACGGAUUGUAAACUUCUUUUAUAAGGGAAUAAACCCUCCCACGUGUGGGAGCUUGUAUGUACCUUAUGAAUAAGCAUCGGCUAACUCCGUG
rnacentral:rRNA from 1 species